ACGAAGGGGGCUAGCGUUGUUCGGAAUUACUGGGCGUAAAGCGCGUGUAGGCGGGCGUUUAAGUCAGGGGUGAAAUGCCGAGGCUCAACCUCGGAACUGCCUUUGAUACUGAAUGUCUUGAGUCCGGGAGAGGUGAGUGGAACUGCGAGUGUAGAGGUGAAAUUCGUAGAUAUUCGCAAGAACACCAGUGGCGAAGGCGGCUCACUGGCCCGGAACUGACGCUGAGACGCGAAAGCGUGGGGAGCAAACAGGAUUAGAUACCCUGGUAGUCCACGCUGUAAACGAUGGAUGCUAGCCGUUGGGGAGCUUGCUCUUCAGUGGCGCAGCUAACGCUUUAAGCAUCCCGCCUGGGGAGUACGGUCGCAAGAUUA
rnacentral:rRNA from 1 species